UAACACUAUCGGAUACACACAACAUCUCAUCACUUUUCAUAAUUCGAUGUUCAUUUCUCCCCAAAUCGAUUACCAUCCCUCCUUAACCCUCAUCGAACAAUAGCUCCGCUGUCGGCCAUGGUUCCACUGGCGAUGGCUGCCCGUUGUCAGUCUGAAAGAUAAUCCUAGGCUCGCCCUUGUGUUUCUUUGGUACCCUGUUGUGUCGCCUCGCUUCGGUCUCUCCCUAGAAGUCGAGUGAUUCACAUUUGGCUACACAACAUUUGUUUUCUAUUCACCUGUCGUCAGUUGGUGCCGGCGCCGGCGCCGGCUUAUUGUGCAGGUGGCAUGCUGAAUGAGGUUGGUGUCCUGUGAUUGAGGUUGGGUCCCAUGGAUCCUGGUCCGUCUCCCUCUUACGCUGAUGGAGUGUGCCUUCCAAUUCACGCUUGCUCGCCCGCCAACUGCUCGUCAAAAUACCUCAACUGCUUCUAGACAAUGAAGUCUGCUGAUUAUAUCAAAGCAAAGGAUAGACCAAGAAAGUUUGGUAACAUACGUAUCACCAACAAGUGGAUGCAGGUAUCAAAUAAUUCAUUGAUAUACCGAUGCUUAGAAGCGAAAUACAAGGAGGUGAGGCAAAUGUCCUUUACUUGUUCAUUCAUUUGAGAUUGAUUGUUACAACUAGUGCUCUCCUAUCAAGAAUUUCUUGGAUCUUGAUUAAGAAAAGGUUUUGGUUUAUUUUUGUGUAACAAGACUCUUAAAAUAACCAAGUUUUCCUUGCUUUGGAGUGAGAAGAACCACCAUUGUCCGUUUUGCGUGUUUAGUACCCUGAAUGACCCCAUCAUGGAGUUCCAAAAGAUACUCUUGUAGUGCAAACUAUGUAAGAAUUGGAGGAAGUACUAGAUUUGUAUCAUUUUUUAGUUAAGAUGACAGGCUUGCAAUCAUCCAUGAUUUUUCAGAAUUAAAUAGUAACAAUUAGAUGACAUUCAUAAUUUUUAAUUAGAACUUAUUGUGAAAUGUCCAAGAGCAUAAGUGGAAUAUUAGAUAUGGCAGACAUCAUUAAGAUGUGAUGUUUGCGAUGUUAUUCCGAGAAAUUGAGGUUGUCAGCAAUUUAUAGUCGGAGUUGAUGUUGGUGUAUUGACUGACUUAAACUAAUAGAAACAUGAGAGUUUCAUCAACUUCAUACGUGUUGCUUUUGAAAGCGUAGUUAUGAUGAAGGUCAUAGGAAAAAAGCUUAGCUAGGUUAAAGACAUAAUUUACAUGUUUGAGAUGUCCUUUGAUGUUUAGUUACUUCCGUCAUGACAUACUAAAGAAUUUUAAUAUUUUGUCAUUUGAUCGGGAUUCAUCUGUUGCGUGAAACAUGCCCUGGAACAAAAUAUACCUUAUUAUUGCAGGUUUACCUAAGUCAAAUGAAUAUAUAUUUGUUGAGGCUAACGGUGGUUAAAUCAACAGAGUACAUCGGUAUAUUUUCGUGGAUAACAAUGUUUAUGUAUCAUGUUAAAAGUUUGCUUUUUUAUGUUUGGGAGUUAUGGAAAUGCAGUAUCUCACUUAUUUUGAUUUUUUUAGAUAUGCAAUGUUGUAGUUGUGGCAUGCUACCUCAAUGCAACCCCAUUAUCCAAGGUGAUACCCUAGCCCUUGUCAAGAUAUUUGCUACUGCUGUUACGGUCCCAGAGAGACCGCACUUAUUCUCCUAAAUAAUGCCGGAGCGAAGAUCCUCGAUGAGGUGCUCGACGGAGAUAACAUCAAGUGCACUUACAAGGAUGUACACAUUUUUUUUUAAAUGUUUAUUCUUUUGGGAAUUAAAUUACUUUAGUUGCUAAUAUAAUUCUUAUAUAUCAUUGGAAACACAUUGCAGUUGGUUCACUGCCUUUGAUUGCUUCCUUUGUGAUUUUGCACUCAAUGAGCUUGGUCGUUCAUAACUGUAUUUGUUAGUCGACCUUAGGAUAGUACUGCAGUUUGAUACUAUAUCUAUUUAUUCACGUAUUACUUUUGGAUUUGGGAAUCAAGAGUUAGCAAGUUGUUAGUUGGUUGUUAUGGUGUAUGGCAUGGUGAUUUUUGGAGAUGCUUUAAAAGCACUGUUGACGCCUAGUAUUCUAUUUUUGAUAUGAAAACGAAUGUUGUUGGAUUGAUGUUGUUCUAUAGGUAUGAACAAUUAUUUCAGAUUAAUUACAAUAAAAUUGUG